CGUUCUGAAACGCUGUACCACCGGGUUGUGUCAUUAUCGAGCUAAACAAAAACAUAGGGACCGGGGGGCUGGCGAGGAAGGUGGGAAUGGGAGAUGGCUCUCAAAUGAGUGUGGAAGGGAUGGAAGCUCAGGUUGUCAGCUCUUUCACCCCAGUGUGGGUGCAAACAGGAGACCCCCGAGGACGUGCACAAAGCCAAACGCCGUGUUUAGUACACGACAUAGUACAGUUUGAGGAGGAUUUGGAAGGAAAAAAACAAAAGGGAUAGUUCUGUUUGGGAUGCUGGCUUAUCAAGCCACCUCCCCAGACCCUCUCCUUCGUUCUGACUGUGGUUACAGAAUGGAUGUAGAAGUUCAGCAGCAAAUGGGAAACUGCCAGAAACACCGAGCAGGCCUUUUCCGCAUGGAAUUUUGCUUUGCCUCUCCAACUGCCAUCGCAUCACUGCCGGUUCUGGGUCAGACGUUGGUGCCUGAGCUCCCCAGGCAGAGGGCACAGCGAGUGUUCCCCACAGCCCCGUGCUCCCAGCCUGGGAGCUUCACGUUUCUCUGCUUUUCUGUCUGCAAAACGGGGCAGCAGGACUCCAUCAUUCUCCAGAAGGCUCUGCAGCUGCUCCAGGCUGGGAACGCCGGCCCGCUUCCAUCCAUGUGCUGCAGGAGGUGGGGUCCUGGCCACGCUGAUGUGACUAAAGAUUGUCAUAGCACAUGUGAUUUAGGGACACAAAAAGUCCUGGAGAUGAGGAGCAGCUGAGCUCAUCCUGGCUUUGCAGCCUCCGGGAGGUCAGUCCUCCCAUGGCCGGUGGAAAACUACGUGCAGAGCAUCUGUCCUGAGUGUCCAAGGGGGGACAUGAGCACAACGCCCGCUCCCACACGGGGUGAGUAUUGCACUGUGCGCUGGCAGCCCCGUGGCAGGGGAUAUGGGGUCAUCCCGCUCUCCUUUGCUGUCCUGCGCCCCGUUCCAGGGGCAGAACAAGAGAUGGGGCUCUGCCCUUCAGCCUUACUCUGUCUACAUGCCGCUGUCAAGUGGAAAUACCAAAAAUCAGCCUCUGGUGUGGGACUCUGCAAGUGAAUGAUUCCAAGACUGCAUUGGACUGCCUGGUAAGAGGGACAGAAAGAUAGCUACAUGAAAAAUAAUUAGAGUAAUUAUUCAAAAAUCAAUAGCUGUCUCAAAAAAAACCAACAGUCAAUUAACCUGGAUACAUUUCAAAAUGAAAUCUAUACUGAUUGGGUAAAAGAGGUCCAAAUGAUCAGUUAAAAUUUACUCUGGAUAACCUUAAAUUUCCUAUCGCCCUAGGUCCACUGUGGUUGGCAGCCGAUCCUGAAUCACCAGCUGCCCCAUUUUUAAGGUGACCAACUGUGGAAGGAAGCGGACUUGCUCUUUUUCUGGGCUAUCCCGUAUCUCUCAUUGCAGUGGGGGGACUGGAGACAUCCCUAUGAAGAAAAGUAGAGAAGGACAUCUGGCAGAGUGAAGACUUGCCUCCUCAUUCAGUAGAAGAAAUCCCAGAAGGAAAUAACAGGGCUUCUGUGUUUGUAGACCCAAAAGAGGUGCAAAUGAUUUAUUAAAAAAAUAACAACACUGUGCAAGUAUGGUCUUCUAUGGACCGACUACAUAAAAACA